rnacentral:rRNA from 2 species
AAUUAGUGGCAGACGGGUGAGUAAUGCAUAGGAAUCUACCUAGUAGUAUAGGAUAGCCACUAGAAGUGGUGGGUAAUACUGUAUAAUCCCUGCGGGGGAAAGAUUUAUCGCUACAUGAUGAGCCUAUGUUAGAUUAGCUAGUUGGUGGGGUAAUGGCCUACCAAGGCAGUGAUCUAUAGCUGGUCUGAGAGGAUGAUCAGCCACACUGGAACUGAGACACGGUCCAGACUCCUACGGGAGGCAGCAGUGGGGAAUAUUGGACAAUGGGCGCAAGCCUGAUCCAGCUAUGCCGCGUGAGUGAGGAAGGCCUUAGGGUUGUAAAACUCUUUCAGUGGGGAAGAUAAUGACGGUACCCACAGAAGAAGUCCCGGCAAACUCCGUGCCAGCAGCCGCGGUAAUACGGAGGGGGCAAGCGUUGUUCGGAAUUAUUGGGCGUAAAGGGCAUGUAGGUGGUUUGGUAAGUUAAAGGUGAAAUGCCAGGGCUUAACCCUGGAGCUGCUUUUAAUACUGC